UUGUACUCCAUGUGGCAAGUCUCAAUGUCAAGUGUGUAAUGUUAUGUGUGACAGUGAUAACUUUUACUUCCCAUAUAACUGAUAAGGAAUAUAAGAUAAAUUUUCCGUUUAACUGUGAUUAGUCCAAUGUUGUGUAUCUUAUGGAAUGUAAAGUAUGUGGUGUACAGUAUGUGGGUAGCACUUGCACGCCGUUUAGGCUUAGGUUUAAUAACUAAAAGGCGUGCAAUCGUAAGUUUAUCGGGGGCUCUUCGGGUAUACCUCAGGCUGAUUUUUUCGGCAUUUUGCAGGGAACAAUCAUCAUGGGUUUCUUGAAGAUAUUAAAGUAACUAUUAUAGGUAGACUUAAUGGGAAUGGUAGGAUACGUGAAAGUUUCUGGCAGUAUAAGUUAGAAACUUUGGCGCCCCAGGGCCUUAAUAUUAGGUUAGUUGAAACAUAGUUUUAUUUUUAUUUCCAAUCUCUUGGAUAAUUUUCUUCUUUUCACAGCAAUUUAUUAUUUCUACAUAAUAUUAUUUUCUAAUCUUCAUGGUAGGGACAGACAGCAUUCAACCUUUCUCGUUUUUGUGCAUUCCUGGGUAGUUUACCAUCUGCCUUUUUUCACGCUUGUCUUUUGUUCUUUUAUCUAUUGUAUUUUUUCCGCUUUUCUCACCUUCAGCUGGGCCUAGAAAGUUUACUUGUGUCGUAUAAUUAGCCAUUAUCGUCCUUGCUUGUAAAAUGUGCUCUUUUGUCCUAUUGUUUUGUAUUCCUUACUUUACGCUCCAAAUGUAAGUGAAGGUUAUUCUGAAGAAGCAUAUUGCGAAACGUUAAUCAAGUUUUUUUUUACUGAUCAUCUAUAUAUAUAUAUAUAGAUGAUCAGUAAAAGAUCUUGACUCUUUCAAUUUCAGAUACCAGUCUCACAUGGAAUUCUUGAAUAAAUGCAUUGACGAGAAGUUAGUUCCAAAUGGCUUGAAAAAUGAAGUGGAGCCUUCUAUUGGCAAUCACGACGAAACGUUUUUGACUAUGUGGAAUGAAAAAUUAAAAUCUUACUCAAUUGAUCUAAUGAAGGAAAUUGUAAAAUUCUGCGGAAGCACUCUUUCCAAAACUGAGCAAGAAAAGUCAAAAGUUGAUGCACUUCUAAAUCGAGAAAUAGAUGCAGACACCUACAAUGAUGUUAAAAAAACUAUCAACGCAAAUAUACUGCAAACAAAAAAUACAUGCCAAAAGAGAAAGUCAAGGAAGUUAUACUACCUGAAAUACGGUAAGCCCCAAAACAAAAAUGUAGCUGCGGCUUCUAAGGAAAAGAAACAACAAAUUGCACCCCAGAAAGAAAAAGAGGACAAGUCUUACGCGGGCGCAGUAAAACAACCGCAACAGACGGCAUCCAACCAAAGUUGACCAAUGAGCUUUGUAGAUCACCUAAAAAAUGUAAGAGCAUCAACAAGCCAGAGCCAAAGAGACAGAACAACGAAAGUCCCUGGAAUGAUCAAAAUUUUGCAGCGCCCGAAACAAAGAACGGAAAAGUCUAAUCAAACAACACAUGUUGAAGCACAAAAAACCGAGGAAAUUCAAAACCGGAACCAAAAAAACGAAACCACGGCCUCCAUGUAUCAUGGGGGCCUAACAGAUAUGCUUAGAGCCCUAAACGAAACAACAAAGGCAAUAACAGGAUUCGAAAAGUUAUUAAGAAGCUUGUCCGAACAAUAAACAAUCCGUUUGGACAGGUCAUAAAUUUGUCAAACUUCAAAUUUUCCUUAAGUGAAUUUAAACUAUUAAACAAAAACCUCAACUUUUGUCCUACACCCUUACCUUACAAAAGAAAAGAACUGGAAGAAGACAUGAAGGAAUUUUUUCGAAAAAUCAAACUUAAAGCCCAUUUUAACAACAAUGAAGAAACACUAGAAGAUGAAGAAGAAACUGACGAGCAACAAACAGAUGAAGAAAGAAUAUUUAGGAAGAAAAGUAGAUGGACACCAUACAAUGUACAUCAUACAGUCGAAACUUAUAUAGAAGCGGUAAAAAGCGAUAUUUACUCAACACCUAAGGUACCUCUAACCAAAAAUAACCUCUCAAAAAAAGAAAUAAAAGCCAUGAAUGAUUUAAAACAAAGAACCGACAUUAUCAUAAUCAAAGCGGACAAAGGGGGAGCAUUUGUAAUAAUUGAUGUAAAAGACUAUAUAAAAGAAGCAAACAGACAGUUAGGUAAUACCCAGUUCUAUUCAACCAUUGAUGAAGAUUUAACCAAUAAACACAAUAAAAUUAUAAAUGAUUUAAUCGACAGGUAUAUAGGAGAGAAAUUAAUACAAUCUAAAAUUGGAGAAGCGUUAAAAACAGCUAACCCUAAAACACCUAGGUUCUACAUGCUACCAAAAAUACAUAAACCAAACAAUCCCGGUCGACCGGUGGUAAGCUCAGUAGCUUGCCAUUCUAGCCAAAUCUCUAAAUAUGUAGACUACCACUUAAAUCCAGUAGCACAGCGACUAAGUUCGUACGUAAGAGACACCACAGAUUUUAUUAAUAAAUUAUCGUCAGUUAAAGACCUACCACAUAAUACAGUACUUAUUUCCAUGGAUGUCAGAUCCCUUUACACUAAUAUCCCUACAAAUGAAGGCUUUGAUGCUGUUAAACAAAAAUUAAACGAGCCUACAAAUACAAUUACACUUUCAGCCUCUCCAAUCGUAAUACUUGAAUUUCUAAAACUUAUACUUACCUGUAACAAUUUUGAAUUUAAUGGCAAUAAUUUCCUCCAAAUCAAGGGUUGUGCCAUGGGAACAAUAUGUGCCCCCUCUUACGCUAACAUAUCUUAUAUUUAUGGGGAAAUUCGAAGAAGAAUACAUUUAUCCAUAUAUUGGGAAUAAAGCAAAAUUAUAUCUACGUUACAUUGACGACAUAUUUAUUUUGUGGACAGGCACUUAACGAAAAACAUUCCUCUAUCAAAUUUGAUUAUGAGAUGUCAGCAAAAGAAGUCCCAUUUUUAGACACGAUCGUUUAUAUCGAUAACAGAAACCAUUUGCAAACAAGACUACAUAGGAAACCCACAGACAGACAGAAUUAUCUUCAUAGAGCAUCUGAACAUCCACUACCACUAAAAAAUAGCCUAGCCCACAGCCAAGCAUUAAGAACUUAGAGUAUGAAAAUAACACAGAGCAACUUGUCAAAACAUUUACAUCACGAGGAUACGAUAGAGCAAUCAUUGACAAACAAAUAAAAGAGGUUGACAGCAUUUCACGCGAAGAACUACUAAAAACAAAAUUCUAAAACGACAACAAGUAACAGAACUCCAUUCAUCACAACUUAUUACAGAACCCUUCCACCUAUUGGAAGUAUAUUACGUAAGUACUGGAACAUCCUUAACAUCAAUCCCAAAAUUGCGAAAAGCUUCAAAAAUCCUCCCAUGAUGUCAUACAAACGUAACAAGAAUUUAAGGGAUAUCCUUGGGAGUAAUAAAAUAUCCAACAAUGAAGUAGCAAAAUAUAAAAGCCGUAAUGAAAAGGGUCAUUGUAAACCAUGUAAUACUAAACAAGGCAAUUUAUGUUGCCAACAAGUUUUGAGCACAUCAACUUUUAAAAGUAACCAAACCAAGCGGACUUAUGUGAUCCGACAUAAGGUUAACUGCAAAAGUAAGUAUGUGAUCUAUCUACUAGAAUGUAUAAAAUGCGGUUUACAAUACAUUGGUAAAUCAGAAACACAAGUUAAUCUACGAAUAAACAACCACCAAAAAGACUCAAGUAAAUCAGCAUCAAUACCAGUUUGCCAACACUUUAACAACACUUCCAACAACUUCAAUAAUGACGCGAAAUUUAUAAUAAUUGAACAGCUUAAGUCUCUUGAAGGCGACAAGGAACUCUUAAGAUCUCGACUGCAACGACAGAAGACUUUUGGAUAAAAAUACUGAAAACCCUAAGUCCGCUUGGGUUAAACAUGGAACUCAAUAGCCCUAUAUAGGGCAAUACAUUUCAUAACCUCGUUUUCCCAAUUCAUUCGUGCAUUUUGUCAAACAACAGACUUUAUUUCUGGGGUGAGGUCUUACAUCAUAUUAAUAAACAAUGAAACGUCACAUUAGAAUAGCCUAUAUUUAGAUAUGCUUUAUGUACCAAAUAGUUCUUACUUAAUUCUAAGAUUACAGGGAUCCAAAUAGUUCUUACCCUCUCCAAAGUCUUAAGAUUACAGGGAUCCAUUCUUUGGCAUUUUUUCCCCUUGAUGUUUUCAUGAUCGCUACAUUAUCAACCUUUAGAUCAGUGUGCACAAAUCCAUUUUUGUGAACAUGAUGCAAUGCACUUGCUAGCUUGACCAGAAUUUCUAGAAAACAUUCUUCUGUAACGUCCUCUAAUCCACCAUUUCUUAUGACACAGGAUAAGUUUAAACACACAUUGUUUCUUGUACAGAGCUGCAAGACCAAUUCAAUAGGCCUUGAGUUUAUAAUUAUCCCAUAUAGCAUGGGAAUGCUUUCAUGAGGACUGAUGUUUAUUAGUGUUCUAGCUUCUCCUACUGCUCGAUCUAUAAUUAUUUUUGGUGAAAAUUCAGAAAUCUCUUUGAAUUCUUUAACUGCAACUGCAAACUUGCGAUAUUGCAUAAUAAAAGAAAACGUCCCUUCCCCUAAAACUGUAUCGCCUUCAAUUAAAUUCUGAAGCAUAUCCCGUUCAAUGAAUCUGUCUUUUGGAAUCCCAGAAGGGACAUAUCUAGAAAAGUAGUAAGCCAUGCUAUCUGUUGCUUGAUAACCAACUUCGACUGCCUUCUUGUUACUUUGAACAUCUUUUUGGAUGCUAUCGGCCGGAAUAUUUACGUUCCCCUUUAACCAUAGUAACUGUAAGGGCCACCCUUUGUGUGCUGAUGCUUGACUUCUGGAAAUGCUGUUUUCACUGCUAAGCCAAGUUUCCUUUCGUUUAUACACGCAGAUGGAAUGUUACCUGGGCUUUUAAUAAUUAGCUCUGUACAGGUAUUUUUGCCAACCAUAACUUCCCCUCCUUUGAACAAUCAUAUUUGAAGUUUUCUUUUAGCCGAAAACGGUAAUGAUUUUGUUAUUGCAGAUAACAGGACGUCUUGAGCUUACGCUCACUUAAAUUUCUACAAAUAGGAAUUUUUUAAAUAGUUGCUGCAGUGGUUAUUUGCACCACCAUCUGAAUAAAUUGUAGAAAAAUUUUUAAAGUGUGAAGUAAUGACGCUACAGCUACCACUUCCAUGUUAUCUUUAAAUAUUAUUUUUUGUAGGUAAAAAAACCAAAUAGCUAUUCUGUUUUUACUUACCAAUUCAACAGAAUGUUCUGAGACAUGAUUCUUGUGAGUUGUUAAAAAGCGACACGAUGAAACAUAAAACUAGAAAAGUUCACAGAUACAAAAAACUAGUUUCCUUUGCGCCUUAUUACUUUGACACCUCAGGAAGUACUGGCAACAUGCUCCGUCCCUGCCCGGAUCUUGUAUUACUCAUCUAUUCAGGUGAGUCGAUGCCCUGAUACACUCUUCUGUCGAUACAUCAAACCUGUAUUCUGUGUUCUAAAAAAAUGGCUACGAGAUCACUCGAAGAUUUUCCUUUUGAAACGUUGUUUAACUCAUCAAAUGAUUCAAGUAUGGAAGAUGUGAUACAUAGUACACCAGUCCCUAAUAACUCUGGAGUAAGGGCAUCAUGAUCCGUUUUUCAUAAAAAUUGUUCUAUCAUUCUGACAUUUGAGAGAAGCCAGAGUGAAGAUGACGCGACUGCUGAGGUGACAUUUUCGGACCAAGUAGUAAAUCUGAGAGACAUCAUGUUUGAAAAAAGGGAGCCAGAAGAUUUCAAUUUUAGCAGAAAGGAGAUCCUCAACUUUAACCAUGUUGCAAGAGAGAAAUAUGGGAACCUGGUAAGACAAAUUUACAAUAUUCAACAAAACAACAAGCUCCUGAUCACUUGUAUUCUCUUAUAAAAGAGGAGUAAAAGAGUAGUGUGGAAUAGCUGAAAGAUUGAAGGUGGUAACAAUGUUCAAUAUUUUCAUUUUUAGCCAGACAACUUCCACUUUUCCAUACUAUGGUAGCAUAUCUAGACAAAGGUGCAUGGGAAAUAGCGGAACAGAUUAUUGAUAAAAUGGAAAGGAGAAAGAUGCAUGGCAAAGCAAUUCCUACCACAUUUACAUUCAAGUUUCUCAGUGGAUGCAAGACCAGUGGUGGAAAAAAGGAGCGCUUAUUGGAGUACAUGCGUCAUAACGAAUUGGAAGCAAGCAGAAAGCACAAAAAGAGGGCAUUUCAUCCAGAAUCAAAGGUUGUUUUGAAUUAUUUGCCGUAGUGGAUAAACAUGAUAUCUUUGAAAUUGUUUAAGGGGUGCUUGAGGAUCAGACAGAGUUUAGAAUCUUUCCAGCAAUAUGAAUUGGCUUCUUGGGAUCUAUCCACUUAAUAAACUAGUCAUAGAAACGAUAUUUACCAAAAAAAUAUACAUCCAAUUAGAAUCACACAACAUUACAAAAAAUCCAUACAAUCUUUUCUAAGAACAAUUUGAUAAGAACAAGAGCCUCAAAAUUGGUCAAAUUAGAACAAGCUGAGGCUGAGCUACUGUAAAAUGUGAUUUUGAACAACAUUUUAUCUCAAAGACGAGAAUUUUAAGCAAUAUGUGGGUGCUUCUUCGGUGUAAAUUCAAACUUGUUGGUAAAUAAAGAUUCUUCACUGAUUUUGUUGGCAAAGGAGGCCUGAAGUAGAGCGAAAAAGCUAACAAUCCCACUGCUUACACCAUAUUAAUUUUAGAAACCUUUCAGCCUGAACUUUAGUUUACUGAUUCUUAUAAAAAAGAGAUUGGCAACGGUUAUCAACAUAAAGAUAAUAGAUUUUUAAAAUUCAAUUUUUGAGUGAUGAACUUGCAACCUUGAUAUACUAAGAUCGAAUGGGGUUGCAUCAGUCAGCCUGCGUGUGCAGCAGAAGUAAAAAAGAGACCUGUAAUAAUGAAGUCGUCAUAAAUACUCAUGGGUAAAUAUCAGAAACGACCAACAUCUCGUUAAGUUGCCUCAAAUGAAAUAGAAUUUGGGUGAAAAGGUUUUUAUUAUCUGGCGGGAAAAGAAUUCAAUGACGUACCACUGAGCGCCAGAAAAUUUGAAUUGAGUCUUCGUUUAAGCAAUUUUUAGAAAAUCAUUUCAUGAUGCGAAGCUAUUUUUAUAUUUAUUAUCUUUGGAUUGGACUCGAUUUUACUCAUUUAGUAUAUUUUGAAUACAUGAUUUCAUGUAGAUUUUUACUGUUAGUUUUUGAAACAUUUGAUUCAAUUUAUUUGAGCGCUGAAUACCCUUCUGUCAUUUGAAAGUGUGGAAAUGUAAAACAAUUCAAUCUAAUGUCUCUUGUAUUUAAUGGACAACAACAUUUUUAAGGCAUAUUUUAAAUAACUGCUUUCAAUGGUCAAGAAUAUCUAAUUUGGAAUCUAUUGAUCAUGCUGCAAGGAGGAGCAAGCAGCGAAGAACUUUUGCGAGAGGAGCUUAAAUGUGCCAGAUUAGAAGUUGUUUUUAAUCUUUAUAAGUUCAAAAACUAAAUAAAGGACAGUCGUCUCCAUUUAUCGAUCGACAACGAGCACCACGCUAGACCUGGCAUUUCCUGACAUCGGGCCGAGAAAUGGGUUAAAUUGAUAUGCAGUUUCCGUUGCCAAAACUGGUCCUGCUUCAAAAUAGUGUGACAAUCAACUUUAGACUAAUCCUUUGACAGAUUUGCCUAAUCCAGCACUAGACUGCUUACAUAGCUGUUUAACACCCAUUGUUAGAAGAUGAUAGGGAUAACAUUCGUCAUGAUUAAAUCAUGUUUUAUUUGCUAGUGCCCCUGUCUCCUUGUCUCGUGUAUUGUACCAUGCAAACUUUUGGCUUCACUGGCCAUUCCUCUAAUCUUUCAGUAUUGACAAUUGCCAUGGUAAAUAUCAGUAUUGAUAUGACAUGUUUAUCACAAAGGACAGCACGUUGAAAAUCUGCUUGUAUGAAUCAUAUUCACCGUCACACUAUCCGAAUAUUCAAAACACUCCAGUCUAGAUCCGUAUUAUAUACUUUACUGCAGUUUUAAACUACUUGCUUAUCAAAAAGUGAGGAGGGCCAUGGCCCCUACGGCCCCUCUCCCCCUGUUGUCGUGGACCCUUGAUUCCCAGUGGAAGUAAUCUAAUCAGUCUGCUCCUUCCAUAGAUAAUAAAGCAAAUAUUACACGAUUUGUAGAAGAUGUCUUUAGAUGUGGAAAAAAUUAUAAAAACUCAUGUAGAUUCUAUUGCUAUAUUCUUCAAGCACUGUUAUUUGCAUUUCAUAUUUUUUUGCAAAAUAAUGUUUAUUUCUGAAAAACCUGCCAUUUUGUUAAGAUAAUUUUUCUUUAUUUGUAUUACAAAUUUUAUCAUGAAAACAAAGCAACAAUCAUUAUCAAUAUUUCGUUUACACAUUAAGAGCAUUAUGAUAGUUGUAUGACAUUAAUGUGAUUAUACUGAUUGAUGGUGAUGAUAAUGCACUUGUCUCAAACCAAAGUAUUUUGGGUGGAAAAUCAAAAGUCUUGUUUACAAGUUGGCAAGCUCCAACAUUCACUCAUCAAUGUGAAAGAAUUUUCUUGAUACAUCGUUUUUUUCACUGUUACAUCCUGUACUUUCAAUAUGCAAGGUAAACUAUGAUUCCAUCAAAAUAGAAUCUCUUCUACCAUCAAUCGAGGCAUUUUCUUAGCCACUCUAAAUAUACAACAAACUACUCUACAGACUACAUUGAUAAACAUUAAGCAUUCAGGCAAAAGGAAACCUUUUAAAGAAAUUACAUCAAAGUCAGCACUGAAGCUUUUAAACAAUAUUCUAAUAUUUUGAUAUUGAAAGCCGCCUGGUUUGUUUCCAAAUUUCAAGGUUCGUAAAGCCGCAUUUACACUAGCAAGUUUUCAUUGACAAUUUUUCUUUGAAAAGUUAAUUUUGAUCGUGUAGAUUGGGCGUGCCAGUUUUUGCAAGUGCACUUGACAAGUAAAAAAUUAUCAUAUGGAAAACUUGCUCGUGUAGAUGUCUUAACAAGUAAACUUGACAAAUUUGACUCAAUUCCAGACCUUUUCUUUUCUCGCAAUUGCUUGUUAUUGGCCGAUCAAGGAACAUCAAUGCUUUUAAUACUCUGCAAAGCCUUUGGAAUAUAAAGGCAGAAAGUUGUAUAAUUGGAUGAAUGAAUAUAAUCAACAAGGAUGAGUAUGCGUAGUACGGGUAUGGGUAUACAGAUAUUAAAGGAAGACAUUCCAGGGGUUUCCCACCCAUGAAUAAAAGUAUUUUCUUCGUUAAAGGAGCUAUUAUUUGCGAAAAAAUUCGACAUAAAAAACGUGCCGCAUCACAAAAACCGUGUCAAACAUAUAAACUCUGCUGGCCAAAACGAUUGUCAGAGCAAAUAGAUGUUGUGAGCGAGGACUGAUGCCUUUCUACACAAGCAAUAAAAAAUUGUCAAGUAAAAAAAUGUCAAACAAAACUUGUUGCUAAUCUACAAGUGCAAGGAAUCUUGUCAAGGAAAGUUACCAAAAAUAAUUGCACAUGUAGAUGCCGCUUUAAGGUCAAGAGCAAAGGUAUACCAAAUGAGUUUGACAUUUAAAUUUUCCAUCUUCCCUGCCCAGUUAGAAAAUCAUGUUAAUUUUAGAUUUUCUUGACCAGAUGUUGAUUUUCAAUUCCAACCAUCAUCGAUACCUGAGAAAACAGCCUCUAUCAACAGCCAGCAUUGCCAACAAGCAGGACAAAAUUUGUCGAAGCCUACCCAAAUUAGAAGAAAGAAGUAUAUCGACACGGACAUGAGUGGAUAUGUUAUGAGUGGAUAUGAAGCUGACACGGACAGUGACAGUGAAGUGGAAAGUUUGCUACUGUUACAAGACGAAACUUCUUCUUCCACCGAAUCAAGAAAAUCUGGUGAGAUUCGUGAUUCCUUCUAUUGGAUUCUAUCUGUAAUAAGUUAAGGACUGAUGCCUUAAAGCUAGUUUCUGUCGAUUUCCCAAUUAAUGAUACUUUCCCUCUCCUAGACCUCAUUUGUAGAUUAAUCCUGAUACAAAAUUCUUUAUUUUUUAUAUAUUAAUAUAAAUAAAGGUUGUACAUAAUAAGCACUAUAUAUGUUCAUUGCAUCAAGCUUUUUAUCUUGGAUUAAAUUUUUAAAUCAGAUUGAUUUGUUGAAACAGAUGCCUGCUGUGAAUGCGAAAAAAAAUCUGACAUGACAUGACAUCUGCAAGUGAUGAAGAUUAUGACGCGGACGAUGAGCAAGAAGAAAAAUUUGGUGAGAGAAAUGUAUUGCCAUCAUAACAAGUAUUGAAGAGCAUUUGGAUAAAGGUAGUUCCAUGGCAAAUUAUCAGUGGCGUCACAGCCUUAUUGUACGCCCCCUGUAAAAAUCCUACACAGGCAGAAGAAGCUAUAAAAAAUUUAUGUACAAUACAGGGGAUGCAGAUGUUGUUGUGACGCUUGUGCAAAUUGUUCUCUUAACUUAUUCAUAUGAAAAAGUGAAUAGAACCAUUUUGGAAGCAAAUAAAUUCAAUCAACAAAGCAGUAACUUCUAUGUAAAUCAGCGAUUUUUAUUAAACUACAUCAAAUCAAAUUGUAGGAAAUUAUUUGUAAACGCUUUUUUAUCCGAUCAAAAUCUUGAAUAUUGGGUUGUGCUUUCUGGAGCUCCCCUCAACGACAACUCUACUAGAACUUAGUACAUUUUCAAUUAAGUUUUUUAGGCAAAUAUGAGUCCAGGGCCAUCAGAACAGGAGGGGGAAAGCAUCCAAGGGCACAGGAAUCUCUCCUCUUAAAGAAAUAGGCAUUACAAAAUCAUCCAAAAUUUAACCUCUGUUUGGUAAUAGAUUUUAUUUAAGGCACAGCUGCUUAUGAAACUGAUGAUGCAGACGAUGAACUGGAUCACUCUUCAAGUAGUUCAGGAAGAAUACAUCUUGGACAUGAUUGAACCAAUUUAUACCUCCAGAUACUUUUUGGACAAUUGAAGGCUCAAGUGUGUUGUUAAAUGUCUAUGGUAUGACAACAGUAACAGUUUAGCUUGAUACUUCUAGUGUAUAGCCUUGCUAAUUAGACACAAUGAGAUAAACAGUUCUGUUUCCUCAGGGGGAGGAGGCAAAAAUAGACAGGGAAUAUGUUUGAACAGUUCAAGAAAUUAAAUCAAAAUUAGCAAUGUUUAAGAAUAACGGUCAAAUUUCCUACAUUUCUGAAAAAUUUGGGAAGCUUGAAAACACAGUUUUUAUCUUGUUUUUCUGCUUCCUAAACAAAUUUCUUAAUUUCUUGCAGAUUCUUCUGCUAACGAAGAAAGAGACUUUUCUGAGUCUACAUGGACAUGCAACUCGGAAAGAAGUCCCUUCAAUGUCGGUUGGCAACAAAUGCAAAAGGAAAAACUUAAACGAAAGCGAAUCUUGGAGAAUAAUGCAGCGAAUAAAAAAAAGAAGAUAGGAUUUAGGAAGCGCCUCUGGGCAUUAGUGGAGUGGGGGGAGGCAAUGCCUACAAAAACACACAAAUUCGCCGACAAAUAGCAUAAUUCAAAAGACAAAAACAACAAUUUAGCAUUGUAAAAAAUUUUCCAGGAUCUCUAAAGAACUAUACAAAUACGAGUUGUUUGACUCAGUGAACAUUUGACCCAGCCAUGUGUAAUUAAUAGAGCGGUUGCAAUAGAGCCCCCAUGCCUGGUUUCCAAUAUUGCUGCCAUCUUGACAGGCAAGGUGGCUUUUUCGAAAACGUAAACAUGACCACUCAAAGCAGCGAGAUUUCUCUUUUGUCAUACCUUUAAUCGAUGGGAGCAAAGGCGAAUAAAAAAUUAUCAAAAAUUGAGUGCAUUGAGUGCAUUGACAAGAACAUGAAACACUUGCCUAACGUAGACUACACUGACAUUGUUAAUUACCUUGUCUAUUCAACAAGUUACCUGACAGCAAAGGCGAUAAAGGCGAAGAAGUCAUUACAAGCUUAUAAAAACUUCUUGAGUGGGUGGGUUUUAGAAGCGGCAACAAUAUUAUACAAGGAAAAGUGCGUUUUGAUAGGAAUGGUAAGUCAAAGAUCUUAUCCUAAUAAUAAAUCUAAAAUUAUUGCAACAAAAGCUAACUUGCUGAAAUUAGUGCAAGAAAAGUUAACUUGCUGAAAUUAUUGCAGCAAAGGUUGUUUUGUUGAAACGAUCUUAACUGGACAGCAGCGCAAUCUUGGAUAGUUUUUUAGGUUAGAGUAAAUCUUAGCUUCAGGGAUGUAUUGCCUUUUGGGAUUUCUUGUCUCUGCCUGUUUCCCUAUUUGCUGCCUACUUUUUGAUCAUGAACAUUGUUUUCCUUGAAAAAAAUUGCUGCCUAUAUUAAUCUCCGACUAUGCUACAUUGCCUCCAUAUGAUAAAAGUCUUUACUUUCUAUUUGAAAUUGUUGCAGAAACCUGUACCUGUAUCUACCUGUUGCAGAAAUAGAUUUCAAUCGGAAAGAUACAAAAUUUCAAUUUUGGCAGUAAAAGUUAGGAAGAAAGUCAUGGGCCAGUUAAAAGAAGAAAAUAGAAAAUGCUUGCCGUACUGAUCAAGAUAAGAAGCAAAAGGAAUUCUUUAACAAGAUUAGUUUGUGUAGUACUAGACCAGCUAUUUUGUCAAUAGCAGAGCCUUUUAAUGAAGGUUUUAUUCCCUUUGGAGCCAUCAGCAACCUGUAUAUACCAGAAUUGUAUUCUCCUUCAAAUACAGGGUGUUCUUUAGAUGUUAUUCAAAGGAAAUGUGCUGAAGUUGUGCUGCCAGUAUUGUCAGAGGAACAACUUCAGAGAAUCCAAAGAGAGAUAGCAAAGCAGUCAAAGUCAAAGCUUUGGUUUAGGCUAUGGUCUGGUAGAAUCACUGCUUCAAGAUUCAAACAAGCUUGUAGUACUGAUUUCUGCAACCCAAGCAAGAGCCUGAUCAAAGCCAUAUGUUACCCAACAGAGUGCAUAUUUACAAGUGACGCUGUAGCUUGGGGUUUGGAAAUGGAGAGCAUUGCUGAAGCUGCCUAUGUAAAAGCCAUGGAAGCAGAACACAAAGAUUUUCAGUUUUUUAAGGCAGGAUUGAUUUUAAACAAUAAAUAGCCAUUUUCAGGAGCCUCCCCAAAUGGUUUGAUAUGUUGCAAAUGCUGUGGGGAAGGUGUUCUUAAGGUCAAAUGUCCUCACAACUGCAGAGAAAUUUCACUGAAUGAAUAUGCUUGCAAAGCCUAUUCCAUGCUAGUGCCUUUACAUCGCUCAUUUGCACCCAAGCAUGGGCAUCAAUAUUAUUUUCAUAUUCAAUGCCAACUAGCAAUGUCUGUGGCAAAGUAUGCGCAUUUUGUAGUAUGGACACCAAAGGAAACACAUACUGAGACAAUCUUUCCCAACCAGUCUUUCUUUGAUGUUAAUGUUAGUAAAGUAGAAAAGUUCUUUCAGCUUUGUGUCCUACCAGAACUACUUGGAAAAUACUAUACAAAACAAUGAGAUAAUAACAAAUCAGCUAAUAUUUUUCUGUUUUAUAUAUUUCUGUGAAUUUGUAUAAAAAUAAAAAUUAAUCAUUAGACAGUUGGUAAUAAAAGCUAAAAGAUGAUAUGGAAAGACAUACAUUAUUUGGUGUGCAAACAAAAGAGUUUUCUACAUAAAAAUAGUAAGAGAACAAUCAAGAGGAUAUUAGUAUAUAAGGUACAAAAACAUGCGGCAACAUUUCAAUUACAAAAAGCCAUUUGAAAAACAAUGAUUGCUAAAUUUGUUUUAAUCAGUUAGAUUUUGCUAGAUUAGGUUCAGAAAGUGGAUGGAAAUUUUUUUUGUCUCAAUAGAAAAAGGCAUUUUUCCAUAUGAAGAGAGGUCAAUCGAUGCAGCAGGAACCAUCCCACAAAAAAAUGAAACCAAGAGAGAUCAACAUAAAAAGAAAAAAGGUUUGUAUAAUGAGCUUUUAGUCCAUAUUAAAGUAUAAUAAAGUGGUUUCUACUAAAGAAUUCAUCCUGAGUUGACUUUAAAAUUUGCCACGAAGCACCAGUCCUGACCGUGAAGAAGCCAGAGAAGACCCGUUUGUUCUUCCAUUAGAGCCGGGGUCCAAGCGAGAUUGGAAUUAGUGGGGCGGAACUGCCCUCUGAUGAAGCGCUUUUGAAAACCCGAACUGAUGAAUUUUUGACAUCAAAACAAAGUUUUAGCUGCCUCAAAUGCACCGUGCUGUCUAAAAAAACUUGUAGCAUGUCAGAAGAGGAACAGUAGAUUUAAGAAGGAGGUUGCUGCACUAAAGGAGAGGAUAGAGGAAUUGCAAAACAAGCAGGAAUAUGUGUGUAAAUUUUAUUGCCUUUGUUUGCUAAAAUUUUGACCAGAUGAUGUUGAAAAGCUGCCCAAGCCCGUCGGAACUGCGGGGGCUGGAGCCCCCCCCUAAUAAUUGUCAGACUGUAGUAUAUUCCCUUUAAAAAGUGUAUUAAAUGAGAAGGAAUACAAUGGGCAGCAAACCCCCCUUCCCCCCCAAUAUGAAUUUUGUUCCGACGGCACUGCUGCCAAUUGAUUUUCUUAAUACCUCUACUUUUUAGCUGAGCCAAAUCAAGUACCAAGGCUUAUAAUCCAGACUGCAGAGUAUUGCAAUGCACACCUGAGAUAUCUUUUCUAAAAUGACUUUGCACACCUUGUAAAGGGUGUGGAAUUUUUAGAUCAGUGCGUGAAAUGGGUGUGACCCAUAGCCAAGGUCAAAUGAAGAUUUUAAGUUUCCUCAAAAUCAACAUAAUCUUGCAUUGAUUUGAUAACGAAAUAGCCAUCAAUCAUGUACAUUGCUCAUAUUCUCCUUUUAUGUAAUAUUCUCGAAAUCUAACAUAGUUGGGUGUACUAUUGUGCAAAAUUGAAGUGCACACUUAACCAAAGGGCGAAAUAGUUUUGGAUGUAACGAUGUAAAUGGUCUGUUUAAAAAUGAUAUUGCCGAUGAUUGUAUAAUUAUUGUUUUAUAGUGGGGCUCCUGAAAGAUGGGGCUCGUGGGAUUAAUUUCCAGUUAUAUAAAAAUUUCAGCUACCAAGCUCUGAUGAUGAUUACGAAGAUGCUACUGAAAAUGAAAGUUGCUAUGAAGAAUUUGAAGAUGUCAGUGGAGAUGAAGAUGUCAUGUACGAUGUUUUGGAAUGAAGGGCAAAUUUAGAGUUUAGUGGCAGUGAUGCUGAUAAUGAUUAAAAAGGAUCUUCUGACCCAGAGUCCCCAGAAAAUGUUGCAAAGGCUGAUAAGAAUAGAACAAGAAAUACAAUCAAGUAAGUACUUUUUUAAAUGAAAAACUGAUUAAGAAAUGUACAGUACCAAGAUUUUGAUUUGGGAACAUUUUGAAACCAAGAUUUUCAAUGGUUUACAUUGAGCCCUUUGUUUUUAUUUGCUCUGCCAAUGCAAAAGUCAGUUUAAGUUCCUUUAAAAAAUGGAGAACAAAUUUGUUUACUAUUUGGCGAUAAAGCCCCUCUAAUCAUGUCCUAACCUGGUUGAAGAAUCUUGAAUAGAAUGAAACUCAAUGUAGAAUUACAUUCCCACCACUGGAAGCUAUAAUUGUUAAGUACUCCAUCAUUUUGAUCCAGUUAGCUAAUUAUAGUCACGUUUUUUCUACAGCAUUGAUGAGGAUGUCCCUAUCCAAAAUGAGCCCAAAUUCAUUGUAUUCCAGUCAAUGUUGGUUGCACUAUUCUCUUUGUUUUGUUUUAAAUGUGGUGAAAAGAAAUCAGCUCUUGAAGUCAUAAAGAAGGGAACAAUGGUAAAAGUCAUUCAAGCCUGUAAGAAAUGCAAAGGGGCCUUCACAUGGAGCAGCAAGCCAUUAGUCCUAGGGCAGAUUCCCCCUGGUUAUAUUUUACUAAGCUUUGCCACUCUUGCUGCAGGUGCAUCUAUCAGCAAAGUUCUGCUUAAAUUUGCGACACAUGGGUGUAUGCUGCUAUACUGCACAAACUUUUUUCAAGCAUCAGAAAAAGAUUUUGUUGAUUUUCAUAUAUCGAAGUUGUGUUUACGAAAGAAUUUAGUUGUUCUUGCUGGAAACCUGCCGACCCUAUUUGCCAUCUUACGCUGACUGCAGCCGAGUAAAAGAUCGUAAGUUGUGUUAAACUUUCUCUUUACUGCUCACUCGUUUAAACGUUGUUGAUUAGAACUCACGCGUUAGAUCACAUUUGAAGUGUGAUUUAACACUUACCCAUGUAGAUGUCUUGACAAGUAAACUUGACAAAUUUGACUCAAGUGCAGACCUUUUCUUUUCUCACAAUUGCUUGUUAUUGGCCGAUCAAGGAACAUCAAUGCUUUUAAUACUCUGCAAAGCCUUCGGAAUAUAAAGGCAGAAAGUUUUAAAAUUGGAAAACCAACAACAAUGAGUAUGCUUAAUAUGAGAGUAUGGGUAUACGGAUAUUAAAGGAAGAGAUUCAAGGGAUUUCCCACCCAAGAAUAAAAGUAUCUUCUUUGUCAAAGGAGCUAUUUUUUGCAAAAAAAUUUCUCUUGAAAAACGUGCGGCAUCACGAAAACCGUGGCUAACCUAUAAACUCUGCUGGCCAAAACGAUUGUCAGAGCAAAUAGAUGUUGUCAACAAGACCUGUUCCCUUUCUACGCAAGCAAUUAAAAAUUUUCAAGUAAAAAAAUGUCAAACAAAACUUGUUUUUAAUCUACAUGUGAAAGGUAACUUGUCAAGAAAAGUUACCAAAAAUAAUUGCUCGUGCAGAUGCGGCUUAAAGGUCAGAGCACAAAGGUAUACUGGAUGAGUUUGACAUUUAAAUUUUCCAUCUUCCCUGCCCAAUUAGAAAAUUAUGUUAAUUUUAGAUUUUCUUGACCAUCAUCGACACCUGAGAGGGCAAAAUUUCGCCCAGAACAAAAUUUUUCAAAGCCUACCCUAAUUGGAAGAAAAGAGUAAAGCGACAAAAGUUAUGAGUGGAUAUGAAGCUGACACAGACAGUGAAGUGGAAAGUUUGGUACUGUUACAAGAGGAAACUUCCUCUUGCACCGAAUCAACCAGAUCUGAUGCCUGCUGUGAAUGCGAAAAAGAAUCUGACUGGACAUUGUCAGAUUCUUCUGCAAGUGAUGAAGAUUAUGACGCCGACGAUGAGCAAGACGAAAAAUUUGGUAAGAGAAAUUACUUAUUUUGGCUUUUAAAUAAACGUAUUUCCAUCAUAACAAGUAUUGAAAGCAUUUGGAUAGAGGAAGUUUUAUGGCAAAUUAUCCUGUAAUAAACCUGCCCAGGCAGAAGAAGCUAUAAAAAAAUUUAUGUAUCUGGGUCCCCUAUGCGUCAGCCCCCACUGGAGUGCAGAGGAUGCAGAUGUUGUUGUGACGCCUGUGCAAAUUGUGCAAAUUCACUUGAUAAAAUAAAGGAAACCAUUUUGGAAGCAAAUAAAUUUAAUCAACAAAGCAGUAACUUGUAUGUUAAUCAGCGAUGUAAUUAAACUACAUCAAAUCAAAUUGUAGGAAAUUAUUUGCAAACGCUUUUUAUUUGAUCAACAUAGAAUAUUAGGUUGAGCUAUCUGGAGCUUCCCUCAACGGCAACCCCACUAGAACUUACGACAUUUUCAAUUAAUUUUUUUAGGCAAAUAUGAGACCAGGGCCGUUGAAACAGCAGGGUAGGGGAAGCAUCCAACGGCACUGGAAUCUCUUCUCAUGAAGGAAUAGGCAUUACAAAAUGAUCCAAAAUUUAAUCUAUGUUUGGCAAUAUAUUUUAUUUAAGGUACACCUGCUAAUGAAACGUAUGAUGCAGACAAUGAACUGAUCACUCUUCAAGUAGUUCAGGUACAAUACAGCUUGGACAUGAUUGAACCAAUUUAUACUUACAGAUACUUUUUGGACAAUUCAAGGCUCAAGUGUGUUGUGAAAUAUCGAUCGUAUGACAACAGUAACAGUUUAGCUUGAUACUUCUAGUGUAUAGCCUUGCUAAUUAGACACAAUGAGAUAAACAGUUCUCUUUCCUCGGGGAGAGGGGGCAGAAAAAGACAGGGAAUAUGUUUGAACAGUUAAAGAAAUUAUAUCAAAAUUGGCAAUUUUUAAGAAUAACGGUCAAAUUUCCUACAUUUCUGGAAAUUUGGGAAGCUUGAAAACACAGUUUUUAUCUUGUUUUUCUGCUUCCUAAACAAAUUUCUUUAUUUCUUGCAGAUUCUUCAGCUUACGAAGAAAGAGACUUUACUGAGUCUACAUGGACAUGCGACUCGGAAGGAAGUCCCCUUAAUGUUGGUUGGAGACAAAUGCAAAAGGAAAAACUUAAACGAAAGCGAAUCUUGGACAAUAAUGCAGCAAAUAAAAAAGAAGAUAGGAUUUGGGCAUAAGCCCCUCUAGGCAUUAGUGGGUGAUAUUAAUGUUCCAGGUGGGGGUGGGGGCAGGGGGAACCAAUCCCUACAAAAACAGGCAAAUUUACCAACAAAUGGCAUAAUUUCAAAACCGGCAAUUUAGCAAAACCUGGAUAAGCACAUGCACAUCCCCGCAUUUUCCACCACUGCUAGGCGUUGAUAAAGGGUUGGCAUGGUAAAAAGUUUUCCACAUUUGACACUGGAAAAGCUUUGAAUGUAGAUCUAAUGGAUAAAACUACUGUUGAGGUGUGCCACGAGAAGUUAACAUGUGUAAUAUUGAUGAAAAUAUAAAUUUGUGUCACGUACAUCCCUAUUUUACAAAAAAUGCAUGGGUUCUUGUUGCAAAUGUAAUCAAGCAAGUGAAACGAAAACCUAUGCAGUGCAUGUUAUUGUCAUGUUGAAGAAGUGUACCCUGUGACUCUUGUUUUGAAAUGAUAUCAUUUUCAGUGCACCUCCAAAAGGAAACUCCAAAAGCAAUAUGCAGGCUUUGCAAAACUGUCAUUUGAACUUAAAGAACAAAUUUUUUAAUCAUUAAAAAGAUUUUGAUUCUUUCCUGCAACUUCUUGAUGCAAAAACUUAAUUAAGGUUUUUUCAUUUCUCCACUGAAUCUGUAAAUUCCAUGAUAACUUUUCUCACAAUUAUUUAUCAGCUCUAAAGGUAAGCUUUGUUAGCAUAUAUUCCUUUGGACCUUAGAAUUUGCUAUUG